UUCACUUCUGCACUGUUUCUCCCCAUCUUUAAUCGCGUGAUUCUUCUCCAUUUCUACCCACUCCACCGUACCAUUCAUCUUGAUUUCUCUUCAACAGCUCAUAGUUUCCCAUCUACUGUCGUCAUCUCGCGUCUCUGCUUCCUUCAAUUGCAUCAUCGCCGACGCUCGCCGUUCCGUGUUCAAGGAGAUUUCGCUCGCCAGAAAUGGAGGAACCAACCAGAUUUCGACAAGCUCCCUUCAUCACUGUUGUUUGAUCAUCCUCCUUUCUUAAUUCCAGGUCUGAAUGCAUUCCCAAGGAGCAAAUCACGGAUGCACAGUCCUUUGAAAUGGUUCAGUGUUGUUCAGGGAGGAAGAGAUUCAGAUAUAUAAAAUUGUGGAAAGGGUCCAACUUAAGGUUUUCGGGUUUUAAAAUUGGGGAAAACUCCUUCAAAGUCCAUGCCUAAAGUACCUUUUGGCAUGAACGUUUUCAGAAUGAUUGCUUGCUCAAGUUGCUAUACCAUGUGAUGUUGCAUAUUUAGAUCAUGUUGUCUUCAUAGCAAGGUGUUUUCUUUCAUCAAGGGAAGGUUGAAGAAAGAUCUAGGUGAAAUCCAUAUUCAGUCCCAGUAAUAGAGAAGAAUGGUUGAAUUUUCCUCCCCAACCUUCUCAUGCAGGGUUAUGGAGCGCAGUCCGCUGAAGAGAAGCAGAGGCUUUUGAAGUUGAUGAGAAAUCUCAAUUUCAAUGGGGAAUCUGGUUCAGAGACAUAUACGCCCACCACCCGAACUUUAGGUGGAGUGGCUGCAUCAGAUGGGCUUUACUCUCCGGAGUUCAGAGGGGAUUUUGGAGCUGGGCUUUUGGAUCUUCAUGCUAUGGAUGUUACAGAGCUUUUGUCUGAGGACUUGGGAGCAAAGCUCCAACUGUGGAAGUAAGGUAAAAGAAUUUGACUAUCGAGUCUGAUUCCUAUGUUGGUAGCAGAGCUUUGCCAACCCUACCAAAUUCUGCAUUGGACAUUGUAGAAAUACUUCUUGGUGCCUAUGGGAUUAGUACUGCUAAGAGAGCAACGCUCAUAAUUCUUAAGAAUGUCUCUAGCAUUGUUAAACCCGGAAGGUACUACAAACAAGUUCUUAUCCAUAGAGUGGUCAGAAUUGAACAAUCUUUAGAAUGGUUUUUUAUAGGUUAUUUGACUUUUCUAUACAGCUCUUCAUUUUAUAACCCUUAUAGGUUGUUCUGUGUUGUCUUGAAAAUUUAGUUAAGGGUUUAGGCAAGAAUUAGUUAAUGCUUUGAGACUCAAUCAGUUUACAUAUAAAAACUUAGAUGGAUAUUGCUUCUUUAGAGGGUGUUCAAAUUCCAUAAUCCAAUGCCUUUAAAGACAAUUUUAUUGAAAAAGAAAUCAAUGAACCAAUGACCCUUCUAACACUUGGUGGAGGCAAUUAGUGAGAUUUAUAGGAAGUUUACAACUAAAUGCAUUGUUUCGAAGUAAUUUGUUGCUUUCUAUCUUUGUCAUGCUUUUUUUUUUCAUUGUCUGUAUGAGUUUGUUUUGAUAAAGUUUUGUACACAAAUUUAUGCUUGGCUUUGUACCACUACAGCAGAGCCUCAUAUCUACCAUUUUCUCAAUAAGCCCUUGAAUGAGGAAUCUUUGUCAAUUGAGAAGUGGAAAGAAUCAAAGAAGUUGAGAUGAAAGGGCUAGACCACUGGAUGGAUGUUGAAGCCUUGAACAAUAAACAAAAACAAGAAAUUGGUAAAGAAACUAGCGAAAAAGUACUAUCCUUUUUAGCUUCUGAAGUUGUUACCAAGCAGAUUCCUCGUGAGCUUUGAUAAUCUCUAUUUCUCUAUUUGAUGGAACUAAAAUAUGAUCAGUGUAUCAUGGGAUCGAUAGCGUGAGUUCUCAUUAAAAAAGACUGGUUCUGCGAAGAGAUUUUGGCCAUGUUACCAUUAUAGUUUUAAUUGUAGGUAAAUUGUUUAUUAAAUUGUUUGUGUGACCAAGUGCAGGGUGAUAAUCUCACUCUGCAAGGGACUUUGAAGAAUGACAUUAUACAUAUGCUACUCCUUAACGUUGAUAACUUUUAUGAUUAUAUUUUGAUUAUUUUCCUUGAAUUGGCUUGAUCAUUAUUUAAUUCCCCUUAGAAUUAUGACAUUAAGAUUUGAAUAAUUACAUUAUAUCAGAUUUUAGGUAACCUGGUUAUGGGUUCCUUUCUAUUUUGCUCAACUCUGUGAAGACAAGGGUCUCACCUUCAUAGGGCCUGCAGUAUCUGCCAUCAGAGAUAUGGGUGACAAGAGGAACCUACCAGUACCAGCAUCAUUAUCUUUGUGUUGUGCCUUUAAGCAGCUUAGUUAAGUACUUAGUGUUAGAAUAAUAGGCAUUUAUCCUAUAAGCUUAUUUAUAAGUUGAAAUAAUAAAAUACAUAUGCUGCCUUAGUUUUGUUCCCUAAAGAAUUAUCUUAUAAUUAUGUAUGGUGUUCCAAAUCUUUAGACUUGAUGAAUUGUUCUUAUCUAAUAAACAGGUGUGGGAUGCCCUCAAGGUUCUUGAUGCUGCUGAUAUUGAUAAACCAGAGGCUUCAUUGGGCUUGGAGCAUUUGGUGUCGGGUUUUUAAUUGGUUGGGGGUCUGUUUUGUAUGUCCUGGUAGUCCAGUUGAUCAUCUUAUGUCCUUUGCUGGUUUGUUUCUGUCGGUCAACAAGGAUGGUAUUUUAUCAAUAUGGCUGGUAGUAGUUUGGCACAUUUUGGUGGGAAGGAAUGAAGCAGUUCUCAGAGAAGGGGUUUUUCUGCUGAGUGCAUUUUUGACUUGGUCAAGUUAAAAGUGUGGGAAUGGUUGAGAGCCAGAAGCUGCCACUUCACACGUGCUACCUAUGAAUUGAUUGAACAAAUCCUCUGCCUACUCGAUUAUUAGAUGGAAGGAAUUCUUAAGUUUGUUGGUUCUGUUAAUUUUUACUGAUACACUUGCAAUACUUUGGCUCUCAGUCAAAUUAUUGAAUCUCUUUUUGUAAAGGUUUGGGGUAGCCUUUUACCCCCUUGAAUGUAUCAUUGCAAAUUAAAAAAAAAAACACAUCUUUGUUGCUCAA